GUUUGAUCCUGGCUCAGAUUGAACGCUGGCGGCAUGCCUAACACAUGCAAGUCGAACGGCAGCACAGCAUGUAGCAAUACAUGUGGGUGGCGAGUGGCGGACGGGUGAGUAACGCGUGGGAAUCUGCCCUAUAGUGGGGGACAACCCGACGAAAGUCGGGCUAAUACCGCAUACGCCCUAAGGGGGAAAGGCUUCGGCCGCUAUUGGAUGAGCCCCGCGUCGGAUUAGCUAGUUGGUGAGGUAAUGGCUCACCAAGGCGACGAUCCGUAGCUGGUCUGAGAGGACGAUCAGCCACACUGGGACUGAGACACGGCCCCAGACUCCUACGGGAGGCAGCAGUGGGGAAUAUUGCACAAUGGGCGAAAGCCUGAUGCAGCAAUGCCGCGUGUGUGAAGAAGGCCUGCGGGUUGUAAA
rnacentral:rRNA from 1 species